ACCUGGUUGAUCCUGCCAGUAGUCAUAUGCUUGUCUCAAAGAUUAAGCCAUGCAAGUCUAAGUAUAAAUGGUGUACAGUGAAACUGCGAAUGGCUCAUUAAAUCAGUCACAAUUUACUUGAUAGUCUGCUACAUGGAUACCUGUGGUAAUUCUAGAGCUAAUACAUGCACUUAGAUCCUGACUUCACGGAAGGGAUGUAUUUAUUAGAUACAAAGCCAUCCUGGUGUCAAAGCCAGUUGUUUGGUGAUUCAUAGUAACUGCUCGAAUUGCAUGGCCUUGUGCCGGCAAUGUUUCAUUCAAGUAUCUGCCCUAUCAACUGUCGAUGGUAGGAUAGAGGCCUACCAUGGUAGUAACGGGUAACGGGGGAUCAGGGUUUGAUUCCGGAGAGGGAGCCUUAGAAAUGGCUACCACAUCCAAGGAAGGCAGCAGGCGCGCAAAUUACCCAAUUCUGACACAGAGAGGUAGUGACAAUAAAUAACAAUACAGGGCCCACAGGGUCUUGUAAUUGGAAUGAGUACAAUUUAAAUCUCUUAACGAGGAACAACUAGAGGGCAAGUCUGGUGCCAGCAGCCGCGGUAAUUCCAGCUCUAGUAGCGUAUAUUAAAGUUGUUGCAGUUAAAAAGCUCGUAGUUGAACUUGAAGUGUGCAUGGAUGGGGUACCUAGCGGUGCUACUGUUGUUUGUAUGCUUGUCUUAAGGUGGCAUGUAUGCUUCUCUGAAGUGUAUUGUGUUUACCUUACAUUUACUGUGAAAAAAUUAGAGUGUUUAAAGCAGGCUGGAUGGGCUUGAAUACAUUAGCAUGGAAUAACUGAAUAGGCUCUGAGGGCUAUUUUGUUGGUUUUGGGUGGCUCAGAGAAUGAUUAACAGGAACAGUUGGGGGCAUUAGUAUUUAAUUGUCAGAGGUGAAAUUCUUGGAUUUAUUAAAGACUAACUACUGCGAAAGCAUUUGCCAAGGAUGUUUUCAUUAAUCAAGAACGAAAGUUAGGGGAUCGAAGACGAUUAGAUACCGUCGGAGUCUUAACCAUAAACUAUGUCGACUCAGAAUUGCUGGUCGGUUGUUUGAUGCCGGCAGCAGGGCUGUGUGGGAAACCAAAGUGUUUGGAUUCUGGGGGGAGUAUGGUCGCAAGGCUGAAACUUAAAGGAAUUGACGGAAGGGCACCACCAGGAGUGGAUUAUGCGGCUUAAUUUGACUCAACACGGGGAAACUUACCAGGUCAGAACAUAGUGAGGAUUGACAGAUUGAGAGCUCUUUCUUGAUUCUAUGGGUGGUGGUGCAUGGCCGUUCUUAGUUGGUGGAGUGAUUUGUCUGGUUAAUUCCGAUAACGAACGAGACCUUAACCUGCUAACUAGAGCAUGGAAGACUUGUGCUUCCAUAGUUGGGGCUCUUCUUAGAGGGACUGUCGAUGUCUAAUCGACGGAGGUUUGAGGCAAUAACAGGUCUGUGAUGCCCUUAGAUGUUCUGGGCCGCACGCGUGAUACACUGACGCAGUCAGCGAGUUGUGUACCUUGGCCGAGAGGCUUGGGUAAUCUUGUGAAACUGUGUCGUGUUGGGGAUAGACCCUUGUAAUUAUUGGUCUUGAACGAGGAAUUCCUAGUAAGCGCGAGUCAUCAGCUCGCGUUGAUUACGUCCCUGCCCUUUGUACACACCGCCCGUCGCUAGUACCGAUUGAAUGGCUUAGUGAGGCCUUGGGAAUCGGAUGUAGUAGUGAUACUGCACCCAGUGAACUUGGUCAAACUUGGUCAUUUAGAGGAACUAAAAGUCGUAACAAGGUUUCCGUAGGUGAACCUGCAGAAGGAUCA
rnacentral:rRNA from 1 species